UUAAAAAUUAAAUCUGAACGACUUCACCAAACACGCAGUUCGGGUGUGUUGUGUUUGUCAACUUUUCAACAUUUCCGAAGGAUGGGGCUUUGGAAUAAAUACGCGUACAUUGACCACGAUCGAGAAGACGCCAAAACGAGUGUUCGUACUAGCUCGCAUUUUAAAUUCUGAUUCUUUUUUCACAUUAUGAGAACAAUCAAAAUUUGUAAAUAUAUAUACAUCAGUAGAGUCUUUCUAGCAGUGGCCUUCAUUCAGUUUUGAUUUUCUGACAAGAAUCAAGUUUGACUGGUAUAUCUGUGAAUAGGUCUUCUUUUAUUUUUAUUUUAAACAUUUGAACUGUCAUAGAAGUUAUCUGAAGGUUUGAUUUUUUUAUUUUUAGAAGCUUUCUCAUGUGGGCUUGUGUUAUUUUCUUGUUGAAUGAAGUGGUUAAGAAGAAAUUAUUGGUGUUUGAGAUGUAACUGCUGCUUAUUAGGUUUUGGUUUCUGAGUUUUUUUUGUUUCCUUUUAUUUUCCUGAAAUAGAUUAGUUUUCUUUUAUGGGUUUGAUGAAUUUAAGUAUGUGAUUAAUGGGAAGGAUUCUUGAUUUUGUGUUUGGGGUGACUUGAUAUUGUGAUUCAAGUAAUAUAAAUAAGAAAUUUCUUUCCGAACAAUUUGGGUUUCUACUGGAAUUUCUUGUUCUUAGAAUUCAGUAUGAUUUUGGGUUUUUAUUUACCGCAUUGUGUUUGGGUUUGUGAGUUUUAUCCUCGAAAUUAUUUUAAUUCGGUAUCUUUUGCAUAAUUCAAUUAAUGGCACUGCUCGAAAAUCUGAAGGAAUUAUGAGUUGAUGAAAAUCAACUAUGGCUAUCUUUAACUGAUUCACCCCGGACCUAAUUACUAGCAGAUUCAAAAGCCUUUGAAGCUGCUAUGUCAUUUGGCAGUGCUUAUUGUGUACUUCAAUUUGGAGAGUACUUUUCUGAGACUUCAGUUAACCUUAACUCAAUAAGUGAUAGCUGGGAUUGAUCUUGAUCGAUUUUAGCACUUCUAGACCUUGAUUUAUUAUAUUACCAACUUCUGGAGUUUUGAGUUCUCUGCUCAUACAACAUUACUGCGUUGUGGACUAUUGUUAUCUGAAAUUCUAGAUGGUUUUUGGGAUUUAGUAUUGAGAAUGGCUCGAUUAUAUUUUGGUCUUGAAAGAUGGAAUCUUUUUGCAGUUUUUCAUUAAGAGUGGCUUUUGUUCUCUUCAGUGUAUUAUUGAUAUUGCAAUCACCAAGAGUAUUUACUUCUGGGUCGUUGAGAAAUAGCAAGGCUUGUGGAACUUAGUGCAUUAGCUAUUCAGGUGAUCCUAAUUGGGAAUUGUCUUACAUAGAUGGAAAAUUGGUAGAGAAAUANNNNNNNNNNNNNNNNNNNNNNNNNNNNNNNUAUUAGGUUUUGGUUUCUGAGUUUUUUUUGUUUCCUUUUAUUUUCCUGAAAUAGAUUAGUUUUCUUUUAUGGGUUUGAUGAAUUUAAGUAUGUGAUUAAUGGGAAGGAUUCUUGAUUUUGUGUUUGGGGUGACUUGAUAUUGUGAUUCAAGUAAUAUAAAUAAGAAAUUUCUUUCCGAACAAUUUGGGUUUCUACUGGAAUUUCUUGUUCUUAGAAUUCAGUAUGAUUUUGGGUUUUUAUUUACCGCAUUGUGUUUGGGUUUGUGAGUUUUAUCCUCGAAAUUAUUUUAAUUCGGUAUCUUUUGCAUAAUUCAAUUAAUGGCACUGCUCGAAAAUCUGAAGGAAUUAUGAGUUGAUGAAAAUCAACUAUGGCUAUCUUUAACUGAUUCACCCCGGACCUAAUUACUAGCAGAUUCAAAAGCCUUUGAAGCUGCUAUGUCAUUUGGCAGUGCUUAUUGUGUACUUCAAUUUGGAGAGUACUUUUCUGAGACUUCAGUUAACCUUAACUCAAUAAGUGAUAGCUGGGAUUGAUCUUGAUCGAUUUUAGCACUUCUAGACCUUGAUUUAUUAUAUUACCAACUUCUGGAGUUUUGAGUUCUCUGCUCAUACAACAUUACUGCGUUGUGGACUAUUGUUAUCUGAAAUUCUAGAUGGUUUUUGGGAUUUAGUAUUGAGAAUGGCUCGAUUAUAUUUUGGUCUUGAAAGAUGGAAUCUUUUUGCAGUUUUUCAUUAAGAGUGGCUUUUGUUCUCUUCAGUGUAUUAUUGAUAUUGCAAUCACCAAGAGUAUUUACUUCUGGGUCGUUGAGAAAUAGCAAGGCUUGUGGAACUUAGUGCAUUAGCUAUUCAGGUGAUCCUAAUUGGGAAUUGUCUUACAUAGAUGGAAAAUUGGUAGAGAAAUAUUUUCCUGUAAGGCUCUAGAAACGUGAAAUGCAAAACACUGUUUCCUCACCAGAAAUCUCAGCACGUGUUAUUUAUUUAUUUAUUUAUCUAUUUUUUUUUUAUUAUUAUUAUUAUUAUUAUUAUUAUUAUUAUUAUUAUUAUUAUUUUAUUUAUUUAUUUAUUUUUGUUAGAACAUGUACAUUUGGGAGGUGAUGUUCCUCAGGAAAUAUUCAAUAUUCAAUGGACAUUGUUAAAUUGCUUAAAUUAUGUUAUUUUGCUGAGACCUUAUUUUUAAAGUUAGCACCUUUUUGUUAUAUUGUAGAAGAGGAGCCUUCGGAAUCUUGAAGAAAACUUUUGCAGAACUUAAUUAGAGAAGGAUCUACAGAAAACGGUGUUCAACAAAAAUCUCAGGGAAGAAAGGAUAGAUAUGCUAGCAAUUCUAAAUUGACCUCAAAAGGGUUGUACAUGGC
rnacentral:lncRNA from 1 species